UAAAUAAAUAGUAAAUAUAGUAAAUAUAGUAAUAGUAUAUCGAAAAUUUCAUAUCAUUCCCACUAGUCAUGCAGUCUGUCUUGCUACGUGAUAUUGAACAGGAAAUAAUUGACGACUUUUAUUUUAUUUUUCUGAUUUUGCCAAAUUUUUAAUGCGGCCCAAUAGCUGUUUUUCUUGGUUUCAAUCUACCGUGGGAAUAAAAAAUAUAAACCGGGUUUCUUUACCGUUUUCAUAUUACGCCAUCUGUAUUAUGUGGUUAUACGGUAAAUGAAGUGGCACAGUCACAUGCUUUUUUUACUACCGGAAAUUUGUUGACCAGUUCAGCGGCUACUCGAAAAUGGCAAUUCGGUUAAUUUAUAUUGAGGAAAAUUGUCCAUGGAAACAGUUUCUUUGUCUUCUAAGCUUAUCGUCAGGACACAAGGGAUUACGAAACGGCUAGAAGAUAAAUUGUCUGAUAUAUCCAAAGCACAAGUGUCUGUGGCGAAUUUUUACGCAUUCAUACGUACGUGUUCUCAUACAUGGUGUAAUACGUGUUACAUACACAGUUAUAUAGGUAAUAGACGUACAAGCGAUACGCUUCGCGCAACUUCGGCCAUUUCCGAAUCUCCUCGUUACAGAAAGUGGGGCGCAUGCGCCUACCCCGAUCUGUAGUCUUAUUUUCGUGGCCGUACCGUUUAUUACGAUUUACGGCGUGGCCACGGUCGAGCUCGCAACAACGGUUACAGGGCGUCACGGCGCAAGGCGCGAGAUACAGAAAUCGCGUAGAAAGACGAUCGACGCCAAACAGAUAACCCGCUCUUGGCAUUCCUGCAUCGGUUUAUCGUUUGUUUAUUAUUCUGCAGUUCGUCCGCGCGCCUGGUUCGUAAGAGGCUGUCACCGCCAUGCUAACCAUGGCACCAUUACCGUCGCCACGGAAUUAACCCACACACAUAAUAAUCCCACGUACGAACUACGCAUGCACGCUUGAAAAGUUCCCAAAGAAUUCGUAGUGUGGCGUAUGGUAUUGUCUGCCAAGAGAAGCUGAGAAUUCAAUCCUGUCACGUCAAGCUUUGAAAAUCAUCACGAGAGCAGCCGAUCAAAGGACGCCAUUUUAUUUCCGUUUGUCUAGUCCAAACAAGAAACCAUUUCAUCCUCAGUCAUUUCUUACGUAGAAACAGCUUUAUCUCCUGAAGGAGGUUGGUCAGGACUCUUGAACUUGUGGUACCGGUCGACCAAUGGCGUACGCUUCUCGCCCUCGUAGUACGACGACGUAGUACUCCAGGAGAACAGGGUUCAAAGCCCGGUCAACAGGCUCGUACUGGCUCUGACUAUGGACACGACCGUUUCCACUUCAGAGCUGUCGUUGCAUCUCGCAAAUCGGCCAUCUUCCUUGGUACACUCGGUAUAGGCCUGGUGAAUCAUCACGAGAGAUAAGAGGCCAAUAAAAGGAUGCUUCUCUUAGCGAGAGGGGAUGCUGCAGGGGAUACGUGCUUCGGAGAGAAGAUGAGUGCUCCAGAAGAGAAACCGAUUUGUUGAUUGUCCAGCAAGCUAUAUCUGUAUUUUCCGGCAUUCUUGACUCUUGCGAAUGGCACUAGAAAGAUGGACAGGAAGUUUAUUUAAUAAUCUAGAUAUCAACCAGUCAGUUGUCUCAGGGAUGUUUUAGUAUCUUGAGGAGAAUACCUUUUGAUUACACUUCAAAUUCCAUUUCUUUUAAGUCUUUUCAUAAUAUAAUCAUAUGCAGACUAUAUGUAGAUGUGUCGUUUGAGGUUAAUCAUAUUUCUGAAUGUAAACGAGCAAUUA